UACGUAGGGUGCAAGCGUUGUCCGGAAUCAUUGGGCGUAAAGAGCGUGUAGGCGGCCCGAUAAGUCCGCUCUGAAAGCCCGGGGCUCAACCCCGGGAGGCGGGUGGAUACUGCUCAGCUCGAGUCCGGAAGAGGAGUGUGGAAUUCCUGGUGUAGCGGUGAAAUGCGUAGAUAUCGUAAGGAAGACCAGUGGCGAAGGCGGGUCUCUGGACAGUUCCUGACGCUGAGGCACGAAGGCUAGGGGAGCAAACGGGG
rnacentral:rRNA from 1 species